CCGGUUUCAAGGUUGAAUGGAAGAUGGGCGUCAUAACCCGGUAGGUUCUUAACAAUAGAGCUCGCAGAAGCAGAAUCUAUGACGGGUUGAAGAAGAAGAACAACCAGAACCACACACCAACAUCUCCAACCCAUGCCUCCUUCGAUCUCUACACAUCAUCAACAUUCCAUGCUUUUGUCUUAUUUAUACAUAGGUUUUAUAUAAUUAAUUAAAUUACUAUUCUUGAUUGUAAAAAAAUCUGAAUUUUGACAAUAAUUCUAAUUACAAAAGAUACAAGAUUGGUCGUUGAUCAAAUAUUAGAUUCGUUAUAGAAAAGGGGUAUGUUAAUAAGAAACAUUAUUUGAACAAUAUGGAUAAUUAGGAACAUAGAAAUAGAGAGCGAAGACUGAACAAGUACCAGUUAGGUUCCUGAGUUUCCACCAGAAGUUGAAGCAAGCAAAGUGGAUUUAUUGUGAACUCAGCUUAACGACGAGCUGGAUGGAGAGAA
rnacentral:lncRNA from 1 species